rnacentral:tRNA from 1 species
GCUCAGUUGGUUAAGCAUCAGACUCUUGGUUUUGGUUCAGGUCAUGAUCUUACUGUUCGUGGGUUCGAGCCCCACACUGGGUU